GGGGUUGUGGCUCAGUGGUAGAGCACUUGCCUAGCAUGUAUGAGGCACUGGGUUUGAUCCCCGGCACCUCA
rnacentral:tRNA from 1 species